UUCAGCUGCCUCACUCCCAUGUGUGAUUCUUUUCUGUAACGCAAGAUGGAAAUUUAAUAAGCAGAAAGAGGGCAAAGUAGCAGAAAGCUUUUAAUCUUGAUGGAUAAAAUGGCGAGCAUUGCCUCUGAUUCUGGACUCAUGGGAAAGUGUGCCAAGAGACAGAAAACCCUCAAGAGUAAGA